rnacentral:rRNA from 1 species
GGAGGUAGUGACAAUAAAUCUCAAUACGAAGCCUUUGGUUUUGUAAUUGAAUUGAGAACAAUGUACAAUCGUUAUCGAUAAACAAUUGGAGGGCAAGUCUGGUGCCAGCAGCCGCGGUAAUUCCAGCUCCAAUAGCGUAUAUUAACGUUGUUGCAGUUAAAAAGCUCGUAGUUGAAGUUUAGGUAAUUUGUAGAGAGUGUUAGUAUUCGUACUAUCUAUUCUCUAUAAAUUAUCGACUUCCAGGUAAGCUUGAUUAUCCCUCCGGGGACUGUCAAGCCAGACUGGUCUUUUACUGUGAGAAAAUUAGAGUGUUUAAAGCAGACUUUUUAAAUAGUUUGAAUAGAUUAGCAUGGAAUAAUAAGAUUGGCUUUCAUAGUCGAUUUUUUGGUUUGUUUAUGAAAGCAAGAUUAAUAGGGACAGUUGGGGGUAUUCAUAUUCAAUAGCUAGAGGUGAAAUUCUAUGAUUUAUGGAAGAUGAACAAGUGCGAAAGCA